AGACGGAGGGUGCAAGCGUUGUUCGGAAUCACUGGGCGUAAAGCGCGUGUAGGCGGUCCGAUAAGUCGGAUGUGAAAGCCCGAGGCUCAACCUCGGAAGUGCAUUCGAAACUGUCGGGCUGGAGUACGGGAGAGGGAAGUGGAAUUCCUGGUGUAGAGGUGAAAUUCGUAGAUAUCAGGAGGAACACCGGUGGCGAAGGCGGCUUCCUGGACCGAUACUGACGCUGAGACGCGAAAGCGUGGGGAGCAAACAGGAUUAGAAACCCCGGUAGUCC
rnacentral:rRNA from 1 species